UGAUAUAGUUGCAAAUUGGUGCUGGUUGUGGAGGUCGAAUAAUGCAUCCCAGGCUCCAUCUUUUCAUAUGACUCCCAUCAGAAUUAGCCAAAGUUGAGGAAGGUCCAAAGUAGACAAGUCGAGUCUGGAUGCUGGAAGAUGGUGUGAAACCUGCUGAUUUUCUCCUAGAUUUUGCCAUAGCCAGGAAGAUCUCUGAAACCACAAAGUAAAGACCAGUCAUUUAAGACAGAGAUACCUUAUGAGCCAUAACUAUAGCUGAAGCGUUUUUUUUUUGUUGGGG
rnacentral:lncRNA from 1 species